rnacentral:lncRNA from 1 species
GCGCCUACUGCCCCGUAGGCAUCCCGGGGGACAAACGCUGGGUCGUCCUGAGUCGCUCCCACUCGCCAGGUCCCAUAACCUUGAAGACUGCCAGACUUCCCCAGCCGAAGCAUCGCACCCUGGUGCUCGAGGCGGCAGGUUCCUUGAGAUCCAGGGCCAUGUGUUAUCCGUUUUGAUGUCCCCAGUGUCAGACUUAAUGCCUGGGAACACAAUAGGAAUUCAACCAAUGUGGAGCUGCUGAACUAUUGAACCACCAGAUAGAGCUUUUGAGGGUGACCGAUCGUUAUUGCCUUUAGAAAAGCAAGAUUGGUGGGUUACACCCACACAGAGCCAAGUUAGACUAUUUUCUGGAAUUUGUUUAACCCAGGAUAGACUGGGAGCUCCAUGAGGUCCGAGACAACCUGAAGACGCCCAGCUCAGCAGAGACUGGCUACGGCAAUCACUCAGUAACUAUUUGUUGAAUUGGACAUAAUAGAAGAGCUGAAGAAUUUUAAACAAGUCACCAUCAGUGCAGUGGAUUCCUCAAAGCAAACCUGGAAAUCUCGGCAUGAGUUGGAUUUAAGGCAGUACAUUUUCAGCUCCUGAAAAUUUGAACAGUUUCUCAAGAGAACAACUUGAAACAGAAAGGCAAGGAUGUAGAUGUGGUUGUAGAAGAUGAUGUCUGCGGCCACCAAACUGUCCACUGUGAAGACAAACCAUGCAUGUUUAGUAGGCAGUGGCUCCUCUUCCCUGUGGGGAGUCCCACUGCUUCCCUGGCCUGGGUGUUCUCUGCCGGUAGAUGUUAUUGACAAAAUAAGCAAAGUCCUCUGAUUCUGAGAAUUAGAGUUAAUGAUAGCUCUAGAUUGCCUCUGCCAUGCUAUUUAAAGUCCUGCUUUAUUGUCUGACAUGAGUUCGGCAUCUAUGAGGACUUGUCCAGUGCAAAGUACAAUCUCCACUGAAAGAUAUCACCAGCACAUCUUGUCACUGUGCUGUAGCAAGCUGGGCAGUACAAUGAUGUUGGCAGGAUCCUGUUUAGGUGGAGGAUGGCCACCUGGGCAUCAAGAAUCUUCUACCCUGAUUCCACAUUGACUCCCCAAAGUGGGCUUCAGACAGCUCUUUACUUACGUCUUCUGAUUAAAGCAGCAGACAGGGUCCCAGCUAGAGAAAAGUUCUGGGAGCAGGAGAGGUGUUGGUGGCUUUAAAACCAGGGGUGAAGAUUGAAUUAGGAGGUUAGGCAGGAGUAGGAUCAAAGACUUAGAAAAUGCUUGUUUCCUCCUAUUAUUCUUAUGAGAGCUGAUACGGGGCUUUCAGUUUUGGGGGAGAGCCUUGGAAGAGAAUGAGGGAAUUUAAUCAACUAGCGGGACCUUUCCAACUUACAUUUCCCAGUGUUUGUUGGAUGAUACGUUUGCCUAAUAAGUUAAAGCUUCCAAAAAUAGAAAGGAAAGCUUGGUGACACUAAGCUCUGGCAUGCUGUCAUCUUCUGGCUAGGGGUCUUGUGCUUCUGUUUUUCUAUUUCUGACCAAAGACAUAAAAUGUGUUGUGACCUCUCAGGUAAUGCUGUGGUAUCAUGUCCAAGCAGUAACUAACCAGAGUGGAGUUUUUACAGGUAAAAAAGUAUUGAAUAGCUCAGCAACAGGGAGGACUUAAUGAUAAAUUGCUUUUUCAGAAAAUGACAAGGGGACAGACACUUGCGGUUCUUCCAUUGAGAGCCUUAAGGAAGUUAAGCGAAGCCUCUGCUCACCCCUUCAAGUAACGAUGACCCAUCAGAUCGUGGUCAUAACCAGUAGCAUCUGAGGCACCCCUAAGCUCUCUGGGCCCCAGAUUCCUUGUUAAGUUAAAUGAGGUGACUUCCCAGUUUACCAUUCUAGGGGUUCCUGAGGAGUUAAAAAUGAAGGAGAAAAUGCAACAUGUACCAAGUGAGCAAGAGCUCAAGGCUUAUCUCUGGCACGAAAGUGACCGCUGUCCGUUAGAGAUGUGAUUGCCCUAGAUUUCCUUUAGGAAAUGCAAACAUUGAACUCUGGCCUUCAGGACCCAAGUCCCGGCUUGCAUCUAUUCUAUACACUUUCUGUUAUUUGUUAGGGCUCACAAGGAACAGUUAUUUAUCUUUUAUUUUCUAUUUUUUUUUUAGAGAUGGAGUCUCACUCUGUCUCCCAGGCUGGAGUGCAGUGGUGCCAUCUCAGCUCACUGCAACCUCCACCUCCCGGGUUCAAGCAAUUCUCCUGUCUCAGCCUCCUGAGUAGCUGGGACUACAGGCGUGUGCCAUCAUGCCCGGCUAAUUUUUAGUAUUUUUAGUAGAGGCAGGGUUUCACCAUAUUGGCCAGGCUGGUCUUGAACUCCUGAUCUCAAGUGAUCUACCCUCCUUGGCCUCCCAAACUGCUGGAAUUACAGAUGUGAGCGACCACACCUGGCCCAUUUGUUUUCUUUCAAACCCUUCUGUAAGACCAGUGCUUUAGGUGAACACGUGGACAGAACAAGAUCAUCACUAUUUUGCAAUAUGAAGACCAACUGCGCUGUGACCAGAAAAACAGAGGCAAAAUGUUGAGCUUAAUGAUACCUUUUUAUAAUUUGUAUUUGGUGUUUCUCAAUUUUCCAUUGGAUAGUUUGAGAGAUAAGUACAAGUCAAUGACAUGUUCUCUUUCGUACCCUAUUGUCUAAUCCUGCUAACACACACACACACACACACACACACACUGAUUACCUAAUUUAUCUGUUCCCCGAUUAUUACACUCUCAAUUGCUGCAGAGUCUCAGAAGCAGCAUGGUGUAACAGAAAGAAUAUGAGGCUUAGAAUCCAAAAGCCAGAGUGUGAAUUCCAGCUCCACUGACUUGCUGCGUGACUUGAAGCAAGUCAUUACGUGUCUCUGUUUACUCAUUUUAUGACUUUCCUAUUGCCUCUGUAAUAUAGCACCACAAACGUGUGGACUUAAAACAACAUGCAUUUAUUCUCUUAGCGUUCUGGAGGUCAGGAGUCUGACAUCAAUUUCGUUGGGCUAAAAUCAAGAUGUUGGUAGGACCAAGAUCCCCGUGGAGGCUCUGGGAGAACCCAUUUCCUUGCCUUUGCCAGCUUCUAAUGCUGCAUUCCUUGCAUUCCUUGAUUGUUGACCUCUUCCCCCAUCUUCAAAGCCAGCAGAACAGCACCUUGUUUCAUUGCCUUCUUUACUGUCAAAUCUCCCUCUGCCUUCUUCUUAUAAGAACACUUGUGGUUGCAUUUAGAAGCUGUGAUAAUCCAGAAUAAUAUCUUUAUCUCAAGAUCUUUGACUUGGUCUCUUCUGCAAAGUCUCUUUUGCCACAGAGGGAAAUAUUCACAGGUCCCAGGGGUCAGGCUGUGUACGUCUUUGGGGGACUUUAUUCUGCCUACCACACUCAUCUUUUUUUUUUUUUUUUUUGGAUGGAGUCUUGCUCUGUCACCCAGGCUGGAGUGCAGUGGCAUGAUCUCGGCUCACUGCAACUUCUGCCUCCCCAGUUCAAGCAAUUCUCCUGCCUCAACCUCCCAAGUAGCUGGAAUUACAGGCGCCUGCCACCACGCCCGGCUACUUUUUGUACUUUUAGUAGAGAUGGGGUUUCACUAUGUUGGCCUGGCUGGUCUUGAACUCCUGACCUCAGGUGAUUCCCCCACCUUGGCCUCCCAAAGUGCUGAGAUUACAGACGUGAGCCACCAUGCCCGGCCCCACACUCAUCUAUUAAGUAGAGCUAGGAAUUCCUAUCCUAAGGGACACAAAAAUGAAAAAAGAUAAAAUUUGUGAAGAGGCACAUAAUGAAAGCCCAUACAUGUCACUGAGUUCAGAGGAGGGUGGGUCUGACCUCCCAUUGGCUGGUCUCUGCCUGAUGGACAUCGUGAAGAAGAGAGCCAGGACUAGUGUGGCUGGGGGAUGUUCAGGGGCCAGAGUGGCUUCAGGUGCCAGCAGCCCUGGCCGAAGGAUGACUCCAGGAGCAAGGCUCAGAGCCGAGUGGAAGAAGCUUCAUAAACGCAACUGAGCCAAGCAUGAUGGGAUGUGCCUGUGGUUCCAGCUACUCAGGAGGCAGGUGGGAGGAUGGCUUGAGUCAGAAGUUCGAGGCUGCAGUGAGCUAUGAUCACACUACUGUACUCCAGCCUGGGUGACAGAAUGACACCCUGUCUCUAAAAAGAAAAGGCACCUGGAUGCUCAUGACCGAGAUGGGGUGGGGUGGGUGGGGUGGGACAGCCGCACUUUAUAACUUUGCUUUCAGCAUGAUGUGGAUUAGUGUCUCCCAUGUGGGAAAAUUAUGUUUACCACUUAGAGACCUGAUAGUGCUUGCUUACCCCAUAACGCUGGACGGUGGCAGGCUUAACUCCCCCAUCAAGGGCCUUAAUGUAUUUGGGGCCCUAGUCCUAGCAACAGCAGCAAAUCUCCUUUUUCUUUUCCUCGAGCUGGUUGUUCACCAGGCAGUUGGGAUGUUAAUGGGAAGAGAAGACACACACAAGUCCCUUGUUUUCAAUAAGGCAGUCUGGUCACGUCCUUAGCAGGUUAUUAAUCUUUUUCAAACCCCUCCUCUCCACCAAGUUUUAUGAUCCUGGGAAGGAGAUUCCUACCUAGCAUCCUUAGAGUUAUCGGGGGUUAGGAUCGGUGCAUGCAGUCACUUCCGUGGAAUCAUCAGUAGCCCUCCAGCCUCUGGGGAGAGCUGCCAGUGGUCAGAGAUGUUGGGAAUUACGAGGGAGGAGCUAGGGAGAAGGAACUCACAGUCCCUCAGUCUCUGAAGGUGGCUCCUGGCAGGAGAGGGGGCCAGUCCUAGAUAAGAGCUCUCCCAGGGAAUUCCAAGGGUCCUCCCAAGGUCCAGCCACAAGAUGAGGAAUUACUGUUGGGCUCUUCCUCAGAUGUGCCUGUGAAUUCAUAUCACAGAUGCUUGAUGCAUUUGACAAUUGUUUAAUUGCUUGAGCCCAACUGAUACUCUUUCAGUCACUUUAAGGGAGUGAUUUCAAGUAUGAUCAUUGCCUCAAAUCUGUAUGGCUUUCCUUGCCUUUCAGGUGCUUUAAGAGGGCUUAUGUUCUUUGACUCCCCUAGUAACUCAAAAGGGUGGCUAAGAUGCAACUCUGGAGGUUUCCAAGCUCUCUGCAAAGCCUGCCUUCAGUAGUCUGUGCACCACAAGAAGCAUAACUUUAUUAUCCUCUAGCUGAAUUUACCUCCUGCUUCGAGCCCCUGUUUUCCCAUGUCAUUUUAGGGGUCCAAUGUUUUUCCUGGAGGCAUAUACACACACACACACACACACACACACACACACACACACACACACACACACACAUAUAUACACACACACAUUCCAGGGGCCUCUGAGGUGCCAAGACAUGUGUGGGGUCCAUCUGGUUCACACUGAUGUCCAUGAUCAUUGAGUUCAUUUUUUAUAUCAACUAUGUGACACUUCCUAUAGUUUCCAGUUCCUGGUUAGAAUUUGCAAAGUUGCCGACUAUUUCUUUGAAUAGAGUAGCUAGAUCAUGGGUCUACACCAGUCAUCAAGCAGCGAUUUCCCUGUUGGAAGCUCCAAGCAAAUUGUCAGCUCCAGCAUUCCACACAGCUGUGGGUGCCACACUCCUUUUCCUUUUAAAAGAUGAUGAUCUGCUAGUGGUGAAUGCUCUUGGAGUUUUAUUUGUAGGUUUUUCUUGUUGUCGCAAAUGUCUAUAUUUCAUCUUCCCUCUUGAGGGAUAUUUUCCAUGGGUAGAGGAUCUAGGCUUUUCUUUUGGAUUCCAUUGUGGCUUUAAAAAAAAGUCAGUUGACUGUUUAUUUAUGGCUUCUCUAAAGGUGAUCUCUUUCUUCCUAAGGCUGCUUUAAAAGUUUCCGUUCCCUCCCUCCCUUCCUCCCACCCCAUCCCCCUUCUUCCUUUCCUUCCUCCCUCCCUUCCUCCCUUCUCUUCCUCCCUUUCUCCCUUGUCUUCCUCCUUUUCUCCCAUCCUCCCUUCCUCCCUCUUUCCUUCUUUUUUCCCUUCCUCCCGCCCUCCUUCCUUCUUCCAUCAUUAUAUAUUAAAAUAUUUUCUUUCUUUCUUUUUUUUUUUUGAGAUGGAGUUUCGCUCUUGUUGCCCAGGCUGGAGUGCAACGGUGUGAUCUUGGCUUACUGCAACCUCCACCUCCCUGGUUCAAGCGAUUCACCUGCCUCAGCCUCCCUAGUAGCUGGGAUUACAGGUGCCCGCCACCACACCCAGCUAAUUUUUGUAAUUGUAGUAGAGAUGGGGUUUCACCAUGUGGGCCAGGCUGGUCUUGAACUCCUGAACUCAGGUAAUCCACCCGCCUUGUCCUCCCAAAGUGCUGGAAUUACAGGCAUGAGCCACCACUCCCAGCCUAUUAAAAUAUUUUCUUCUGGGCCUUCCCUCCUUUUACUUCUUUUGAUACCGCCAUCAAAUGCAUGUUAGGUUGACUCACUGUGUACUCUAUUACCCUCUCAUCUGGUUUUUAAUCUUUCUGUCUCCUUAUACUGUAAUCUCAGUGUUUCUUCUGCUUUAAUUUUGGUAUAUGAAUUAUUCAGCUGUGUUCAAAGUGUGGUUAAAGCGACUUAUAUGCUCUUUAAUUUUUAGUUAUUGUACUUUUCACCUCUAGAAGUUCUUCUGUGACACUUCUUAUAGUUUCCAGUUCCUGGUUAGAAUUUGCAAACUUGUUGACUAUUUCUUUGAAAAGAGUAGCUAGAAUUGUUUUAGUCUGUGUAUAGUGAGUUGAAUAUCUGAAACCUCUGUGAGUCUGUUUCUUUUGUCUGCUAGCCCUACUCAUGGCGUCAUGUUUUCCUGGAUGUUUAGUUGGUUGUCUUUGAAUAUGUCCAACUCCAGUUAUUUCUGGGAAUACCCAAAGGCACACCUGUUCACUAUCACCCAGUGAACUGCCAUGUGUUUGUCUCCUGUCAUGGUAACAUUUGCAUUCAGGGAGAGGCCUCUGCUCUCUGCAGAACAGUGUGAAAUCACCUCAUUUUUGCCUUCAAUGAAGGUUGUCUCUUGCUGGUCACCACCACUUCCUCAAAUGACUAAUGCCACUCUUGCUCACAGUGCUAAGGCGCUAAGGAGUUUUCAGAGGGCUAGAGUGAUUCUGCAUCCUCUGGGGUUCUCAGGAAACGAGGCCACAGGGCCAUCUGUGCAUGAGUGACAGUGGGGUGGGGUGGAUGAGCAGUGGCAGUGGUGGGCACCUAUGCUGCUGGCGCCACAGCUUUUUAUAUCUUGGUGAAAACAACGCCUUGCGUUUUCACUUGUAGAUUCUCCGGCUACAUUCCACAAGAACAAAUUCUGGUCACAGAGGCCAGAGUAGACUAUCAGUGUAAUGGCCCUUCCCCUUUGAUGAUAGCAGCUUUUUUCGGGGGAGCAGGGGUGGCCAAACUUCCUAGCCUUAUUUUAUCUUCCUUUCUAGUUCUCCCCAGAGGCUGCUGGGUCCACCUCUCCCUCUGCCAGACAGACAGGCUCAGACAUGCAAGAACGGAAGGGGGUGUGGGGGUUGGUGGGAGGAUUAAGUUGGGGAAAGCCAGUCUUGUCUUUGUAGAUUACCAGAACUGACACACGUACACACACGUACACUCACUCACUCACUCACUCAUCUAUUCAUCUAUUUUUGGCCUAAGUGCCUUUGGACACUUCUUCGGAAAAGCACAUGAACUCUUCGGAGUCUCCUGUUCCACUUGGUAAAUUUCCUAUAGCCACGCACUGAAAGUCCCUGCUGCCCUCCUUCCUCUGAGCUUGUGGGGCCCACAGAUCCCCUGCUCCACUUCCUGCUUCAUUUCAGCUGAUGGUGAGUCCAGGGCAGGCUUGUAGGAAGGGCGGGCUAGGCGUGGGGAACUGCAGCACCCACCCCACCCCCCGCCCCAGUGCUUGUUGCCCCAGCCUCUGUCUCCCUCGCUGUGCCCUUCCCUUAAGCCCCACUCUUGGCCUCCCCAAAGACAGAGUUUGUUCUGUUUUUAUUGAUAGGAUGACACUCCCUCGUUCUAAUACCAUCUGAAUGCCUGAGCAAUUACAUCUUACAACCUCAUGAAAAACACAGCAGCUUGUCACGAUGAAUGAUGUUACCGUGAAUAAUGCAGUUUUGAGUUCAAACUCCUUCUUAUUCCAAGAAUGAGUAAAUAUCCCUAUUCCCUCCCCUCCCCAUUGCAUUUGGGUUUGACAUGACAUGAAUCAUUGUGGUUUUACUCCUGGGUAGAAUUGUUUUUCUGUAUUGCAUUGCCAAUUGAUGGAAGGACAAAAAAAGGAAACUUACCAAUGAGCAGUUUCAGAUGAACUUAAAUUCUCAGAAAUCUUGAAGAAUGAAUGAACUAUAACUUUCUGAAGUUGCAAAAAUGUUCAAGUCGGAAGUGACCCAUGGGAAGCAACCUGGUCCUUAAUUAGGACUGGAAAGAAAACGGAGGCCCAGCGAGGGAACAGUGGCUUCCCCAAGGUCACACUGCAAGUGAGUGGUGGCACUAGUCACCCAGGAGUCCUCCUGACUCCAUGGUAUCCUGACCCCAGACCAGCAGCCUUAUUUGUGGUUAAAGAACGUGGAAAAACAGCUUAUGUUUGAAUUUUAAAAUCAUGCCAGUACUAAAGAUCUGCAUUCCAUGAAUAUUGAGCUUUGCUGUGUGCGGGUUGCUACGAAUUUUGUAACUAUUUUCUCUAAGAGCUCUCAGUAUUUUACAUAUACAAUUCCAUUCUUUAUUGUCCAGGGAAAAAGUUGCAUUUACUGAGCAGUAAGAGGGUGAUUUGAAGUCCCUGGGGUCCCCCACCCUUGUCUUUCUAUGUGAGAUUGUAUUGCAGGGCUCACAUUUAUUCUCUCAGCAGCUCAUUGCACAGACAGUGUAUUUAUUGAGCACCUACUGUGUGCCAGGAGCUAUGUGGUAAGCUAAGCAGACAAAAACUCCUGCUCUCACAAGAAGAAAGAAUAAACAAGCAGACAAUUGCACCUAUAAUGUCAGCCUGGUGUGAUGGCUCACUCCUGGAAUCCUAGCACUUUGGGAGGUGACGAUGGGAGGAUUGCUUUAACUCGGGAGUUCAAGAUAAGCCUGGGCAACCAAGACCCUGUCUCUACAAAAAAAUCAAAAAAUUAGCUGGGGGUGAUGGCAUGAGUCUCUGGUCCCUCGGGACCAGAGGCCUCGGGAGGCUGAGGCGGGUUUAUCACUUGAGCCUGGGAGGUUGAGGCUGCAGUGAGCUGUGAUCACACCACUGCACUCCAGCCUGGGCCACAGAGCGAGACCCUGUCUCUAAAUAAACAAACAACCUAAUGUCAAGUUAGGAAGUGUGGCAAAAAGGAACAAAGUCAGGGUGACUGCCAUUCUAGAAAGGGUGGUGAGGGAAGGUCUCCUUGAGCAGAUCCUGUGGGAGUGGAAGGGUAAGUCACGAGACUCUCUGGAGGAAGAAGAUUCCAGGUGGAAAUGCCUUAGUGGGUGUUAAACGCUUUAACGGGUGUUAGCCAGAAAGCCAGAAUGGCUGGAGCUGAGGGAGUAGAGGAGGCGGCAUAGAAAAUGAGGUCAGAGAUGGAGGCAGGGCCGGAUCACAGAGGGGCACAGAGAACGAGGAGGGAAUUGGAUUUUUGGAAAAGAUUGUGGCAAAAUACAAAAUAUAAAAUACAAAAAUAAAAUAUAAACCAUAAAAUGUACUACCUUUACCAUUUUAAGUAUGCAGUUCAGUAGUGUUAAAUACAUUUACAUCAUUGUUCAACCCGUCUCCAGAACUCUCUGCAUCUUGCAAAAUUAAAACUCUAUGCCAUUUCAACAGUUCGCAUUUCCUCUUCCCUCUCGUUCAUGGCAACCGCCAUUUUUCUUUCUGUCUCUGUAAAUGUUAGUACUUGGGGUAUCUCAUCUAAGUGGAAUCACACAGUGUGUGUCCUUUUGUGACAGACUUAUUUCACUUUGCAUAAUGUCCUUAAUAUUCAUCCAUGUUGUAGCAUGUGUCAGAUUUUCCUUCCUUCUUAACAUUGUGUAAUAUUCCAUUGUACGCAUAGACUACAUUUAGCUUAUCUGUUCACCUGUGGAUGGACACUUGGGUUGCUAUAGUGAAUAAUAUUGCUGUAAAUAUGGGUAUACGAUUAUCUCUUUGUGACCCUGCUUUUAAUUGUUUUGGAUAUAUACCCAGAAAUGGAAUUACUGAAUCAUGUGGAGAUUCUGUUUUUGAUUUAUUUAUUUAUUUUUAAUUUUUGAGAUGGAGUCUCGUUCUGUCACCCAGGCUGGAGUGCAGUGACACGAUCUCUGCUCACUGCAACCUCUGCCUCCUUGCACCAUUAAUUCUGAAAAUGCAGGCCUGGAUCCAACCGCCUUUGGGGACGGGUACCUGCCCACAGGAAGAGGUUGAGGAGACAAUAAUGUCACGAGAAUCAUCAUCUUUGACUGGGAAAUGGUGUGCAGAGUUUCUGGUGCCUUCUGAAGUGAUUGUCGCAUCUCAGCCUCCCUAGUAGCUGGGAUUACAGGCAUUUGCCACCAAGCCCGGCUAAUUUUUGUAUUUUUAGUAGAGACGGGGUUUCAUCAUGUUGGCCAGGCUGGUCUCAAACUCCUGACCUCAGGUGAUCCACCUGCCUCAGCCUCCCAAAGUGCUGGGAUUAUAGGUGUGAGCCAUGCACCUGGCCUGAUUGGUUAUUUAAAUUCUGAGAUGGGGUAUACUAAUGUUUGAAAACCACAGGGAUGGGAUAGGUAUAGGUGGGGAGGGAGAGCAAAAGUGGUAUUUAGAAUAUGUUACGUUUGAAAAACCUAAUACACAUUCUACAUCCAAGUGGACAUAGAUGGAGUUAUUUGA